rnacentral:tRNA from 1 species
GGUCAUGUAGCUCAGAGGUAGAGCACUACGUUGACAUCGUAGGGGUCACAGGUUCGAUCCCUGUCGUGACCACCA